GACGAACCGUGCGAACGUUGUUCGGAAUCACUGGGCUUAAAGGGCGCGUAGGCGGGUUUGCAAGUCUGUGGUGAAAGCCUCCAGCUUAACUGGAGAAGUGCCGUGGAUACUGCGAAUCUUGAGGAGGGUAGGGGCGUCUGGAACGGUCGGUGGAGCGGUGAAAUGCGUUGAUAUCGACCGGAACUCCGGUGGCGAAGGCGAGGCGCUGGACCCUUUCUGACGCUGAGGCGCGAAAGCCAGGGGAGCAAACGGG
rnacentral:rRNA from 1 species